CCUACGGGAGGCUGUAGUGGGGGAUAUUGCACAAUGGAGGAAACUCUGAUGCAGCGACGCCGCGUGAGGGAAGACGGUCUUCGGAUUGUAAACCUCUGUCUUUGGGGAAGAAAAUGACGGUACCCAAAGAGGAAGCUCCGGCUAACUACGUGCCAGCAGCCGCGGUAAUACGUAGGGAGCGAGCGUUGUCCGGAAUUACUGGGUGUAAGGGGAGGGAGGGCGGGGGGGAAAUUGAAUGUUUAAACCUACGGGUUAACUGGUAGCUGCGUUCAAAACUUCUUGUCUUGAGUGAAGUAGAGGCAGGCGGAAUUCCUAGUGUAGCGGUGAAAUGCGUAGAUAUUAGGAGGAACACCAGUGGCGAAGGCGGCCUGCUGGGCUUUAACUGACGCUGAGGCUCGAAAGCGUGGGGAGCAAACAGGAUUAGAUACCCCUGUAGUC
rnacentral:rRNA from 1 species